UCCUUUCUGAAAUAAACAACCGUCGAGCCUUGCGCAGUGCUGUACUGUGACCAGCGCAGUCAGCGGAACGUGCUAUCGAGUUAGCCAAACAUACAUCAGUAUCACUACACGCAUUUACAUGCCGUGCACCAAUGGGACGCCAGCCGUCCUCGUGAAACCGUGACCAGUUUCCUACACUUCAGCUUCAAGACAGAUUUCCUCUCUGAAGAUCCAGAGGCUCUCCUGGGUAUGUCAAUGAAAACAUCUGCUGUGGUGGGCUUCCAUUAGAAAUGUCCACAAGGGUAAAUUAUGGGAACGCUUCAGCUUCUGAUGGACUCCCUCGCACCGCCCCCACCACCACCCCCCGAAGGGAUGCUGGGUCCCUGGCACAUCUGGCAGAUCUGCCAUGAUUUCCUGCAUGCGGGGGGGAAAAGCCGCUGACAACCAUGAUGCACGUUUUCAGAGGAGCUGGGUGCAAGCGUGCAGAAGAUAGCCAACGAGGCCGAAUCAGGAUUCCCGCCAAAGCGCUUUCCCAAAGUGUGCCUUCCACUUGGUUACAGAGGCUAAA